UACAUAGCUAAAGACAUGCAUGACUACUACUUAUAGUACAUAAAGUGAAACAGCAGAACCCGUAACUUGGUUCACAUGAGCUAAACAACAAAAGACUUUCACAACUCCAAAUGCACCCGUGACUUGGUUCACAUGUCCUACUGCUGAACCUGAAACAACAAAUAAGACAAGAGUUAGCAAAGUUUUAAAGUAUAAAGUACACAAAACAACAUUAAUACCUUAAACAUACAAUUAACAUCAUAACAUCUCAGACAUUAGUUUGAGUUUAAGAGAUGUUUCCAUCUCAGAGAGUGGCUCUUUUAUCGCGAGUAAACGAUCAAGCAAUUUAUGUCUAGGGAUUUUUUCUUUCACUUCCAACACGCCCUGUAACUUUGACAAAUCCUCUUCUCUACCACUC
rnacentral:lncRNA from 1 species